GCCGGGGUGCCCGAGCGGACCAAGGGGCUGGCCUUGAGAGGCAAAGCUUAAGAAAGCCAGUAGGGGAAACCCUGCACGGGUUCAAAUCCCGUCCCCGGCG
rnacentral:tRNA from 1 species